rnacentral:rRNA from 1 species
CAAUAGCGUAUAUGUAAGUUGCUGCAGUUAAAAAGCUCGUAGUUGGAUUUCGGGUGGGAAUGGCCGGUCCGCCGUUUCGGUGUGCACUUGCUACGCCCACCUUGCUGCCGGGGACGUGCUCUUGAGUUCACGCUCGGGACACGGAGUCGGCGAGGUUACUUUGAGUAAAUUAGAGUGUUCAAAGCAGGCCUACGCUCUGAAUACAUUAGCAUGGAAUAACACGAUAGGACUCUGGCCUAUCUUGUUGGUCUGUAGGACCGGAGUAAUGAUUAAGAGGGACAGUCGGGGGCAUUCGUAUUUCAUUGUCAGAGGUGAAAUUCUUGGAUUUAUGAAAGACGAACUACUGCGAAAGCAUUUGCCAAGGAUGUUUUCAUUAA